rnacentral:lncRNA from 1 species
UAUGAUUGGUCGCUCGAGAUUUUCUUUGCUAGUAUAUAAACAAUACUAACUAAAUUGUGAAAACACACGUCACUCGUUGACACUUUGAAUGGUAUCUAUAUGUGGUAGACAGAGGAAUGUUUUAGAACAGCAGAGUGUAGCUAGCUGAGAAGCCAUAUAUCUUCAUACACUACACAGGUAUGCUGUCAAAUUAUAUUAUCCAAUCAAUUUUGAUGAAUAAUAUCGUACGAGUUUGGUACUGUCUCUAUUUAGGAAAAUAAUUUGUAUACACCCCAUCAACCAUUUGAGUGAGAAGCAAAUAUACAGAAAACAUGAUAUGAUAAAAGUGAUAUAUUGAUAAUAAGAUGGAAAAAAAGAUUAAAAAAAAUGAAAUAUUGAAUAGGUGUAUGAAAUUAUAGAUAUUUAUAUAUCAAUGUUACUCUAUUUAUGCGGCAAAUUAAAGUUGUAACUCUAUUGUUUGGAAUCUUUAUUUUGGCUAGUAUACAUAUAGAAAGACUGAACGACUUAUGCAUUCCCUUUAGACCAAGUACUAAAAUGUCCACAAGAGAUCAUCUUAAAAUACACACCUUUGCAUUAUUCCUUUUUCAUCAAAGCUCCACCUUGAAAAUGAAAUAAUAGAAGUCUCACCUUUGAAUAAAAAAUUUCAUUUAAGUAUCUUCAUAUUAUACCAUGAUUUUUUAUGAGAGAGUAAAAAAAAAUACUUAGAAUCAUGAUUCAAUUUGCUUUUGGUCUUGUUAGUUAUUUUUCAAAAUAGUUAUCUCCCAUUUGCAACAUAAUAGAAUACACCAGGUCCACACUGCUCUAAUAAAAAUACAAGUAUAGUCUUUCACCCUAACAAGAAACCAUAUCACCGGAAUAUCAGAGUUGUAGAAAAAACCUUUUAAAUAUAUUUUCAAGAAAAAUUUAAGUUGUUUCUAAAGAGACUUAAAUUUUCAACUUAGCAUAUGGGAAGCCUUUGAAAAAAACUUUUUUAAACCAAUUGUUUCAUAAUUAGUCGCCUUACAAGGUUGUGUAAAACACAUUUUGAGUCAUCUUUAUAAUUAGUUUUUGAUGCAACCUACCAAAAUGUUAUAUUUUAUUUACAAUAACAAGUUCAUUUGGUCAUAAGCAGAUAGCAAUAUAUAAUUAUGAACUCAAGUCCAAUUAUGCCAAAAUGUUAUACGUAUGUCACAUAAUUAUUUAUUUAUACACUAUUGGUAGAAAAUUUAAUGUUCAACUUUGUAGAUCAUAUACUUCUUUAAUCUACCUUGUAUUUGUUACCAAAUAUGGCUUAUUUUCAUUCACGUUAUUUCCACUCCUUAAGAGGGAGACAACCAGAGAGAUGAAUGGGGACAAUGGCUAGGGUUUCGUUCACAGAAAUAUACAGAGAAAAAAAAAACCUUCGAAAUACCUUUUAAAUAGUUCUUAUAAAUAACUGGUUUAAACUUAACUGCAAAAAUGUCUAUAGAUAUAUGUUUAAAACUUUUUUUCUUUCUGUAAUUAGUUUAAAUUGAUAUAUAGUAUUUUAAUUUGAAUUUCGUACUAGUCUAUAGUCGACCAAUGAGGGUUAGGAGACAUUGAAUAGAUAAAAAUAUUCAAUAUAAUACUUAAGUUACAGAACUCUUCCAUUUAAUGGAUUAAUCUUUUAAGUUAAACUCGCUCUCAUAAUUAAUGGGCAAAACUCAUUAUCAACAAAGUGCGGUUUAAAGAGAAAUACUUAUGUCGUAACAACCAUAAAUCAAAAUGAUUUAGACACGAAAAAAAAAAACAAAAAAAAAAUGUAGUGGAGAAAGAAUAAUUUAUUAUUAUUAUUAUUGACAAAGCUAAAUAAUUUGUAUUGUCUAAAUAAUUUGGAUGAAGAUUAUGACUACAAUUACUCUUUGUGAUUGAAGUAGCUAAAAGUUUGCACUCUUUGACUAAACAAAUAUGUUUAGGGUUCAAUAAUUGAAUAAAAAAAGAUGUAGAACUCAACGAUAUUAAUUAGCGUAAUUUGAGUUACAUAUAUAUCAAAUGCAUAUACAAAAAGAAAACAAUAUAGCUAAAUAAGCAUAUAUUAUAAGACAAUACGACUUAUCUAAAAAAAGAAACAGUAAUAAUGAACAAAUCCUAUAUAUGUUGACAUUGAAGUACUAAUUUUAUUGUGAUAGUAAUUCAUAUAUGUAGGCAACUAAUAAUGGAUUGCCUAAUAUUAUAGGAUACUCCACACUCCGGAGUUAAUUCAUAUCAACAGUGCUAAGGAUAUAAAAUAUAUGUGAUAGAGUUUAUUAAUUAUGUACACCAACUCAGGAACAAUACUCAAAUAUUUUCUUGCAAAUACUAUAUAUUAGUAUGCAUCAUGCAUCAUGCAUGAAGUGGUAGCAGUAGUAGUAGUAACUAUAUAUAUGUAAAUGUUCACUUCCAUAGUUCCAUAUUGUGACAACUUGAGGUUGAAUUGGUUGAAGCAUGUUCCUCAGACAUUUCAGGCUUUUUGUUUGCAAGAAGAGUAAUCUGUUCAGCCACAUGAAGAAUAGUUUGUUUAGAAACAUGAUCUUGAUCUUGACUAAGCUGAGAAGCAACAAAUUU